AUCUCCAAGCUCAUUGGUGUAGUCGUAGUUCUCCUCGUCUGGCUCAUGCUCCUCCAAAGCUGUUAAACAAGAUAAUGGUCACAACAAGUGACCUCUAUAGAUAUUUCACAAAGAACUAAAAGGAAAUUCAAAAGAUUCAAAUGAACUCAAACACAAGUCUAUGGUUGCAGAGCUCAUUUUUUUAAAAAGAUGAACACUAGUUUCAUAUUUUUCUAAGAUCAUAUGAAUUUCCUAUGAAUUUUCUAAGUAUAAUCAUUUUCUAAAAAAGAAAAAGGAAAAAACACUC
rnacentral:lncRNA from 1 species